UUUAAAACAGUGUAUGGUCAUGUUCGCUUGUGUUUGUUGUGGUGGUGCUGCUGGCGAGAGAGAAGAAGAGGGUAGUGAUGGAUCUGAAAGGUACGCCGGUUGAAAAUGGAUACCGUAUGCCUGCAGAAUGGGAACCCCACUCUGGUUGUUGGAUGGGUUGGCCGGAACGUCCAGAUAACUGGAGAAAUAAUGCAGUCCACGGUCAGCGUGCAUUUGCAACUGUAGCAUCUGCUAUUUCAAGAUUUGAAUCAGUAACAGUCUGCGCUAGUGCUGCUCAGUGGGAAAAUGCACGCAGCUUGUUGCCUAAGCAUAUCAGGGUUGUGGAAAUGAGCAUCAAUGAUUCUUGGUUUCGUGACACUGGUCCAACUUUCGUCAUCAGAAAUACCACAGCAAAUGCAGAAAAUGCAGUGUCAAGUGUUGCAGGGGUUGAUUGGAACUUCAAUAGCUGGGGUGGUGUUGUUGAGGGCUGUUACAAAGACUGGAAUCUUGACCUUCUUGUUGCAAGAAAGAUUUUGGCAAUUGAGAAGCUCCCAAAGUUUCCACAUUCUAUGGUUCUUGAAGGUGGAAGCAUUCAUGUUGAUGGAGAAGGGACUUGUCUCACAACCGAAGAGUGCCUCCUGAACAAAAACAGGAAUCCCCAUUUGUCUAAAGAACAGAUUGAGAAUGAACUAAAAGCAUAUCUCGGAGUCAGGAAGAUUAUUUGGCUGCCUCGAGGGUUGCUUGGUGAUGAGGAUACAAAUGGUCAUAUCGACAACAUGUGCUGUUUUGUGAAACCUGGUGUCGUUUUGUUGUCUUGGACUGAUGAUGUAUCUGAUGAACAGUAUGAAAGAUCCUUUGAAGCACUCUCUAUUCUUGAAAAUACUUCUGAUGCCAGUGGUAGAAAAAUAGAAGUGAUCAAACUCCAUGUACCUGGGCCACUCUAUAUGACAGAUGAGGAAGCAGCUGGAAUAGUUCAGGAUGGCGAAGCUAAACCUAGGCCUUCAGGUACAAGGCUUGCUGCUUCUUAUGUAAACUUCUACAUUGCUAAUGGUGCAAUUAUUACUCCGCAAUUUGGGGAUAAAAAAUGGGAUGAAGAAGCUAUUAGAGUCCUCUCACUGGCAUUUCCAAAUCAUGAGGUUGUAGGAAUUGAAGGUGCUAGGGAAAUUGUACUAGCAGGUGGAAAUAUACAUUGUAUCACACAACAGCAGCCAACCGGCCCAGAAUAAUUACCCAAGGUUAGAAAUGGGAUUCCAUGUCUUAGCAGAGGGAUAACAAGAUUUGCAUGUACAAGUGAUAACAUGGAAUUCUUCAUGAUCACACGUGCAAAACUUUAGUUUCUGUAUUUGCUUCUUCGUUCGAAAUUCUGGAGUGCCAAAAUAAUGUCUGGGUCCAGGUCAAAGUAAGAUUUUUUGGUUAAAGCUUUAGAUUUCAAUAGUAUUACGUUUGAUCAAACUUG
rnacentral:misc_RNA from 1 species